rnacentral:lncRNA from 1 species
AAAUAAUCUCUGGAAAUAGAACAUGAUAGCAACGCAAGGAACUCCUUCCCUUUUGGCACUGGCCGCUCUUCUCGAAAUAAACAGGGCUCACUUUGCACAGGUUGCUCCAGGCACUGAGACAUGAUGAACAUCCUUCUGGAAGUCCUGAUCAGCUCAUACCAGACCAGCACUGCCAGCUCUUAUUUGCCAUGGGGAAGGUAAACGGAUGCAGAGCGGAUUCAGCAACCUGGCAACUGAGCAGCGUUGGGGAGAUGGAGGCUGCAGUUCCACGAUGCAAAGUGUUCGGCUGCGAUGCCAGCUUCCCGCGAUGGCUCUGCUGCUCUUUCUGUGCAUGGGACCGGCCUGCGGUGUGAUAGGGCUGUGCUGGGGCCUGAACAGGGAGCUUGGAGCUGUCUAAAAAAACCCAAAUAAACGGCAAGCCAACUUUUAUUUCUGGUAGUUG